rnacentral:rRNA from 1 species
UUUGAUCCUGGCUCAGAUUGGAACGUGGCCGGCAGCCCUCAUACAUGCCAGUCGAACGAGAAAGGCCCUUUCGGGGGCCGAGUAGAGUGGGGGACGGGUGAGUACCGCGUAGGAAUCCACCCGGCAGUGGGGGAUAACCCGGGGAAACUCGGGCUAAUACCGCAUGUCGAGCGUCGGCGUAGAGCCGGCGCUGAAAGCGGGGGAUCUCGCGCACGGCUUCGGCCGAAGGCGGAGACCUCGUGCUGUCGGAGGAGCCUGCGUUGGAUUAGCUUGUUGGUGGGGUAAUGGCCUACCAAGGCGACGAUCCAUAGCUGGUCUGAGAGGACGAUCAGCCACACUGGGACUGAGACACGGCCCAGACGUCUACGGACGGCAGCAGUAGGGAAUCUUGCACAAUGGGCGAAAGCCUGAUGCAGCCAUGCCGCGUGUGUGAAGAAGGCCUUAGGGUUGUAAAGCACUUUCAGUGGUGAAGAAAAUGUCGGCGCUAAUACCGCCGGCCCCUGACGUUAGCCACAGAAGAAGCACCGGCCAACUCCGUGCCAGCAGCCGCGGUAAUACGGAGGGUGCGAACGUUAAUCGGAAUUACUGGGCGUAAAGCGCGCGUAGGCGGCUCGUUAAGUGAGGUGUGAAAGCCCCGGGCUCAACCUGGGAACUGCACUUCAAACUUGCGAGCUAGAGUUCAGUAGAGGGAGGUGGAAUUUACUGUGUAGCGGUGGAAUGCGUAGAUAUAGUAAGGAACACCAGUGGCGAAGGCGGCCUCCUGGACUGAAACUGACGCUCAAGUGCGAAAGCGUGGGGAGCAAACAGGAUUAGAUACCCUGGUAG